AUACGGAGGGUGCAAGCGUUACUCGGAAUCACUGGGCGUAAAGCGCGCGCAGGCGGUCUUUUAAGUUGGAUGUGAAAGCCUACAGCUCAACUGUAGAACUGCAUCCAAAACUAUUAGACUAGAGUCUGGGAGGGGAAGAUGGAAUUAGUUGUGUAGGGGUAAAAUCCGUAGAGAUAACUAGGAAUACCAAAAGCGAAGGCGAUCUUCUGGAACAGUACUGACGCUGAGGCGCGAAAGCGUGGGGAGCAAACAGGAUUAGAUACCCGAGUAGUCC
rnacentral:rRNA from 1 species